rnacentral:lncRNA from 1 species
UAAAGCUGUUGAAAUGCUUGAGGUAUAACCCGAGACUAAUGUGAAGCCCGGGUGGGCAGACCUGUUGUCAUAGAAAUCAAGUGCAAAAGUUGCUGUGUGACCUUGGGCACGAGGGGCUUCACACCAACGCGGGGGCUUGCUUGAUGGUGACUCCUCUGUUGAUUUCAUCAGGGAAGGAAAAGGGAAUGCUUUCAGCGAACAGGUUGUCGGCUAUUACGUCAUGUUGUUGGUGACGCAUGGCCUGUUCACCUUCAGUUAAGAUGUUCUAGCCCUUCAACCAUUUCUUCAAUUCCCUGAUGUGUGUCCAAGAGAUUCCGAGGUGAAACUUUGCAGCAAACAUCUUCAUGGCAGGGAUCCUGAUGGUGUUUAAUUUCAGGUCCUGCAAGAUUCCCUGCAGAUUUUCUCGCAGGGAAGAGAGCUUGAGCUCAUCUUUUUGCUGCAUUUCUUUGUCAUCCAUGCUGACAAGACCUCUGGUGGUAUCAAGAAUCUUGGAACGCUGUCAGAUGGUGCUGGAGGAUGCCGCCCCACUGCUCUUCUGAGGUUGGGGAACACAAAGUGUCGUCAGAGGCUGUUAAUAACAGAAGUAAAAUUUAUUUAAUGAUAUGACAAAGAUGCUUUAAACUAUACUAAACUACAUGUAUAUGUAUUAAAAGGCGUGUAUAUGCAGUUUUAAAUCUUACCAGGCCACCGGUUCUGUACUGUGUUGUCAAUCCAUCCUGUGACUGUGCCAGCUUGGUCUUCAAGAUGUGGGUUCCCAGUUCUUCCAUCACGGGGUCACAGGGGCAGUCAGGGGACGCUGAAGAAGACGGGAGACUGCACUCAGAGGUUCGCAAGACGUCGCAUAAGAAUGAUCAUGAAACACAAGAGAAGAUGGGUUAAUAGCAACAGAAGAUUUAUUAUGUGUUUGGUAAAUGUGUGAACUGACAUCCCCCACAGUAACGCUCUCCUUGCAUGCUGUACACUUCAUCACCAGGCUCAGAAAUAAGGAUGCAAAGUAGCUAUGGGGGGCGGUGACAUACUUGAAGUGUACAGGUGCUUGGCAGUCGGGACAAGGAACUGUGGGUGAUUCAUAAGAUUCAAAGUGCACUGCCAAGCACUCACGACAGAACAAGUGCGUGCAAGGAGUCUCCAGGGCAUUGUCAAGCAACAUGGUGCACAGUUUACAUUCCACAGGGGCAGUGCUUGACAAUGGCUCGAAUUGGGGGAUCCUAUCCCUGGAGAUUGUGGGGGAGGGGGGAGGCUAAGGAAAUGUUCUCUGUAUGCGGGGGGUGCUCGUGGCCGACUACAAGAUGCUACCUUAGUCUUCUUUCUUCCUGGCUUGGACUGUUGGACAAACUUUGUAUAUACAGGGCAGGCACCCAGCCCGGGAUGACUUGGCCAGUUAGGGGCAGUUUUUACCGCAGAAACAAACAGUGAACAAUAACAAGAAUGAAACAUAUAACGGGGGUGAAUGUACUUGUCUUUGCUGACAUCAAUGUGAAAUGUUGCCAUGAUCUUUUCGGCACUCGCACUACACAGUUUGGCACAUUUACCACUUCUUGCCCCAUUGAUGACAGACAUCGCCCCCCACAGAGUCUACAUAACUUAUCUAAUAUCACUUGAUGGCUGUCCAUUUCGCUGAAGGAACUGGAAUUACAAAGGAGAGAUAGAAAACAAUUGUGUUUUCAGGAAAUUAUAUCUCUGAAAAUGUUGAAACGAACUCAUGCAAAGAACCCCUGUCCUUUACUCUGUUAUAACAAGUCGCAGAAACCAGAAAGUUUGUUGUAACCGGGAAUGUUAUUAAGUAUUAUGAAAACAAAAAAUACAUAAUUAAAUGAAUUGGGAUUCACAAAAUUUUUCUUUCUUUAUGACUUUUUUGCUGUAAAAAUGUUAAUACAUGUAUUUAGAUGUCUUUUAUAAGCACUGCACUUUUCAGUGUCCACCUUUGUUUUGCAUGUAUGUUCCUUCUUUGAAUUGUUUAUUUCAUCUCCAUGUCUGUUAAAGAAUGAAUUAAAAUACAAUGUGUGAUUUUGGUUGCUUUGUACUUUUCAUAAUCAUCUAUGUAAAUCUAAUGAUGAAAUUCUUUACUUCAGCCUGCUUGACUCAACUUCAACUCAACUUCACUUCUCAAGGCAUAGGUCUACUACUACUAGUACUACGAGGGCCUACGGUGACUUACUAUAUGGUGUGCCUUAUCGUUUUGCGACAGAAAAGUAAAAUUGUGCUGGCAAAUAAAUUUCCACGCACUUUAA